rnacentral:rRNA from 1 species
AUUGAACGCUGGCGGCAGGCCUAACACAUGCAAGUCGAACGGUAACAGGAAACAGCUUGCUGUUUCGCUGACGAGUGGCGGACGGGUGAGUAAUGUCUGGGAAACUGCCUGAUGGAGGGGGAUAACUACUGGAAACGGUAGCUAAUACCGCAUAACGUCGCAAGACCAAAAGAGGGGGGACCCCUCGGGCCUCUUGCCAUCGGAUGUGCCCAGAUGGGAUUAGCUUGUUGUGGGGUAACGGCUCACCAAGGCGACGAUCCCUAGCUGGUCUGAGAGGAUGACCAGCCACACUGGAACUGAGACACGGUCCAGACUCCUACGGGAGGCAGCAGUGGGGAAUAUUGCACAAUGGGCGCAAGCCUGAUGCAGCCAUGCCGCGUGUAUGAAGAAGGCCUCGGUGUAAGUAC